UCAUCGAUCGGAAGCUCUGACACGUUCUCCUCAAGCCCACGGUCGCCGGAUGGGAGGCGCCGAGCUACUGGCGGGACCGGCCGAUCGGCGA
rnacentral:ncRNA from 1 species